GAAUGGUGGCUUCGAGACUAAAAGUUAUGGAAAAACAUCGUAUCCAGUUUUGAGAGAACUAAACUUCUCUCUUUUGUUCUUUGAAAACUGAAUAUAGACAUUGAAAAUUAAAAAAUUAAUAUUUCAAAGUUUAGAUCAACCUAUAGAAUACAAAAUCAAUACAAUAGGUCAAUACUAUACAAUUGCAUAACAAAAAAUACUAUUAAACAAGAUAAGAGUUUUUGGUGGAUGCAAUUGUA
rnacentral:misc_RNA from 1 species